GCUCUUGUAGCUCAGUUGGUUUGAGCACUCGUUUAGUAAGCGGGAGGUCUUGAGUUCAACUCUCAAUAAGAGCA